CCCCGGCAGUGCUGACCAAAAUGUAGCUGAGGACGAGCAGGAGGUCAAAUCAGCAGAGCACUCAAGCACCAAUCAUGUGUUAUAUGCCAUCUUAGUCAUUUGUGCGAUAGUUCUCAUCAUUGUGAUUGCAUUGAUGUGUAAAGGCUUGAAAAAACAAAUUUCUCAAAGAGCAAAUCGUCAACAUUGCCCACCAACAGAUUAUGUUGCAGUGAAUGUCAAAGAUUCAGAAGCUUCUGCUGAAGUACAUUUGGUAAACGCUCAGACUGUCAGAUACAAGGUCAACCAACCUGCAAAGUAAGUAAAUAAAUCGCAAUAAAAAAAAUAUAUUUUAGGUUUUUAUAGUUUUGUGCUCAUCUUUUUUAUGCUCAUCUUUUUUCAGAUUGAACAUUUGUUCUUCAUUCCACAGUGCUUUAUGACGUUUUUACACUUCUGUUGAAGUUGUACUAAAAAUCAACUUUCUCCUCACUAGGUUUUAAUAACAAUUAGAGUCGCCAACAAUUCACUUUGGCCCAGACUUAUUUGUGGUGUUGGGUGACUCAGCUUCAAAACUUUCCCUGAGAGUCUUGCUCAGCUUACCCCUGAAAGUCUUAAGUGACUCGGUGACCCACUGUGACAUGUGAAUCGAGUUCUUAACUCAAUCAAUUUGAAACCCCAAUUCUUGUAGUUAAAGAGUCUGGGUACUUUGUACGACACAUAAUACAACCGUCAUCAGUAAACAUUAAACUUACACAGUCUAAAAAUAAUGAUGAUAGAAAGCUUCCCUUAAAAUUUUACUUGCCAAGGUACUAGGACUACAAGGUACUGUAGUUUUUUUAGAAACUAGUAAAACAAUAACACAAAAAUA